rfam:Loktanella marina strain CECT 8899 genome assembly, contig: 0004
UCGCUGUCACAACGGCUUCCUGACGUGACGGUCAUUUUUUAAUUGGAGCG